ACCCUUAAAAUGACCUAGGUUUUGCAUGUCCAAAUGCACGCAUGGAAGCUUGCACCAAUUGACAUGCAUGAACUAGCUAGCUUGGCAAAUAAAUAUGAAAACCGGCUUCAAAACAAAGAUCUAAGUUGAUUGCAUUGCAAGGUAACUUCAAAAGAUCGAUAAAUGCAUCAUGCUGAUCAAAAUUGCAUGUCACAUGAUUCAAAUUUGGAUGGUUAAUCCAUUAUAGAUGAAACAGUGAUUUACAAUGAACACCAACAGCAAUAGACCACCUCUAACAGCUUGUUCGCCAAUUCACCAACUCAUUGACAUAAUGAAUAUUCUGACAGCACUCGCAAUCUAACAAGAUUUUCAUUUCAGUUUUCAUUUUUGUGCUUUUUUUGUGUGGUGUUCACAGACGUGUAUGCCACUACGCAUGUAUGUGAAUUUACAUGCAUGCAUGUGAGAGGGUAGAAACAGAAUGGCAGCUUUUAAGCAGCUAACAUGUGGAAGAUCCACAAAAUUUACUUUUAGGCUACCCUCCCUUGAUAAUUCAAAACAAAUGUGAAAGUAGUCAACAUCACUAGAAUGACAUCAAUAGUAUUAUGAACUCUCAAGUGUUCUCAGGUGUCCUACUGAUGCCAAAUCAUCCAUCAUCACAUGCUUACCUUCGGACCAGUCUAUAAGUUAUAGCAAGUUCACAUUUUAUCUCCCAACAUGCUAGACUGGUCAUGUUAAUGGAUCAACAUUGGAAACCACAUAGAUUUCAUUCCAAUCCC
rnacentral:lncRNA from 1 species